UUUUUUUUUUUUUUUUUUUUUUUUUUUUGUGCAGGGGAUCCACAGUCUAUUUUUAAAGCCUUUACGGAGGCCACAUCCUCCAGUGUUCCAUACAGGGCCGUGGGGACAGCAAGGUGGGAGAGGCUGGAUCCCAGUGGGGGCCUAGGGCUCAGUCCUGCCGGGGACCCAGAGUGCCCGAGUUGCUGUGCGGUCACUGUGUCUCAGGGCUGUCAUUCCGGCCACAGUAGUGACAGUGCCUUUGAUUUGUUGUGUUUGGCUCUCCUGCCCCACUCCUACUCUCAGAUUGCUUCCCGCCCCUUCCUCAGCUCCCCUGAAGGAGUGGGUGGCAGGUGCUUUUCAGAGGACAUGGUGGCAUGAAGCCAACUGGAAGUGGCCCAAGCUGACGUCUCCAGUGUGGUCAGAGACACACAAGGUCCCAGGGGUCGUGGCAGGACCUGAGGAAAAUGCCUUCGUGUGGCUCAAGCAGAGACACCAGAGCCUCCGGCCUCGUCUCCUCCCACUGCCAUGCCUGGCCCUUGGUCCCCCCUCCAAGGCCUGAGGGACUUGGGGGACAGGGAUCACUGGACCUGCAUGGAGACAGCGGGGAGAGCGCCAAGUGGAGAAUUCCAGACGGAGUUGCUGCAAAUGUCUGUGAGCAGAGCAAAAGCCCCCUCAGCUGGACCCUCCUUGCCCUUCAGAAGCCCAGCCUCCCAAGCCUUUCCUGUCUCUCUCCGCAGAGAACUCAGUCCCUGGGGCCCUGGCCUGGUGCUGUCCCGAGAAGACCAGGGCUCUGGGUGCCACUCCGUCCCUCCAGUGCUCCUGGCCGUCUCUGGGGAACCAAAGCAGGAGGAGGAAGGAGACACUGGAGACAACCCUUAAGAGGGGUUUGUCACCUUCCGACUCACCUUAUGCCAGAGGCUGGUUGCCUGUCUCUUGUAUUACAUCCCACAAGGAGAGGGACUUGCCUGACUGGUUCAUGAGUAAACCCUUGUAUUAAGCACCAACUAUAUAUUUGUUGAAUGAAUUACUGACAUCCAAGUUUGCCAUGCACAGCAUCCCCGGGGAGGCUUUCUCUGGUCUCUCAGUGAACUCUGCAGUUGAGUGGAGAGUUAAUGAGGCUGUGUUAUAGUGAAAUGUGUAGUUGGUCUGGUCCCCUUUUCUUGGCCUCUGCACCAAUUGCAAUGUCCAGGGAAGUGAACCUGCCACUCUGAAUUCUGUGCACUACUAUGGUAAGCCUAUGGGUGUGGGCACUGUGGACUCCGGGGCUUGUGACUGCAGGAAAGGUGGUGCCCAGGUCCGAGGGCUGACGCUGUCUCCAGGUCCUCAAUGUCAGCACUGGGGCAGCAGAGCCUGCUCACUGCUGGGGAGAGAACCCCAUCUGCAGUCACAUGGUCUUGCAUGGUGAACGUGGUGGUGAGAAAGCAGAGGGAAAGUUGUCUUCCCACAGAACCACUGGGAAGACCGCAGCCCCUUCCCACCUCACACACUGCAGGUCAGGCCAGGCCCAGGAGCAGUUUGGAAGCUCAGUGAGGCAGAGCGGGAAGGGGCCGGAGAGACCACAGGUCCAGGCCCACACUUUCACAGGAGAGGUAACUGAAGCCCAGACAGGGAAGGCACCUGCCCAGCAUCACACAGAUCAGUGAGUGACAGCA
rnacentral:lncRNA from 1 species